GGUCAUUUCUAGCACAGGCAGCCUAGGCACCGGUCAGCAACAUGAACGCUGGGGUCAUUGGGAAUGAGCAGCGCAGGUUCAGCUGGCGGAAUCCUAGGGAAAAGCAAAGAACAAACGAAAGAGUUCAGGCUGGCAGACAACGCUUGCGACUGAGGAGAUGGUGGCGGCGAGGAGCAGCAGCACUGCAGUCAGGUGCUGACAGAGAUGUGUGGGCCUUGGCGUUCCUGCUCCAUCUGCAGCUGCUGUAGCAAAGCUGACCAGGAGCUGCAGCAGCUGGUGCUGUUGGCGCUGCCUGAGCACGUGGGCACUCUGGGCCCUGACUUUUGGAAGACAGCCUGGAGGGACCUGACAGAGCUGGUAGAGCCUGUCCUGCUGCAGCUCCCCCAGUGCCCAGAGCGCUACCAGAAGAAAUGAUGACAACUCCCUGACUGCAAAGAGGAGCCCCAGGAAGGAUGGUGCCCAGCCACACUGCUCAGUCUCUAAGGAGUGGAAGGGUAUAUAAAGAACUCAGCAUUAACGUGGCACAGAAAAGCAUCGAAGUGCAUCUGGGCACCCUGUCCAAACAGCUACAGUGUUCCAAGGAGCAAGCAGGGAGACUGCGGUGCCUCCCUGUCCUAAACUCACCCAGCCAGGGCAGUCCUAGUCAUUGCUGCAGCACAGGAUGAACCCCUGUCUGCAGGCAACCUCCUCAGGAAAGAAAGGCUGAGACGGUGAGGGGAUGUCAACAUCACCAAGACAUCCCAGAAUGUGCUGGUGCCAGGACCAGCACAGCUGCUGAUACUCCAGAAUGUGGAGCUGAACUGGCAGUUCAACAAGUCGGUAUUGCAGGGCCUGGGGCAGAAUACUUCUACCACUGACAAGAGCUGUGCAGGGGUCACUGGAAUGCUCCUCAGGAAGAGAGUAUACAUAGAGAUCCUGAAAGUCUCUGGUGCAACCACGACUGAGAUUCAGGGCUCUAAGGCACACAUGAGCCAGUGACUGCCCCUCCGUCCAGCCAUCGGUGAGGGGGAAGACUGAUCUGUGCCUGGAGGUAAAGCUUCAGAGAUUCCUUAGAGCAGUACGGCAGUCCACUGAACAGCUGCAGUGCCCAUGGCCACCUUGGCAUGCCAAUCUCUUCCUCAUCAACAGGAAACACCACCUGCAGCCAGCUCUAAUCACACAGCAGCAGCUUGGGGAACCCUCCACCUGCUCAGCUGCAUGUAGGGCAGCAGGAUUCAGCUCAGUGCCCAUCUGCUUCCCCAGCUGUAAGGCCACAUUCCUGCCUGUGAAGCAGUGCUGUGGAAGGAGGGCUCUGCCAGCAUCUAAGUGACUGCUCCAUCAGAAGCAGCUGGGGCUGAGGCAUGCCCCAAAGGACCUAAGGAAACAAGUGAUGGCACCAUAGGAAAAGCAGAUGAAAGAGCACCCAGAGCACCCACUUCAAAGAAAUAAAGUGACUUGUACGGAUGAGCUGGCUGAAGAGCUCUCAUAUCCUGCAUUGCCCACUGGCAGACGUAUUGGUGAUGGAGGUGUGACUUUCAGCUCUGAGAUUCACACAGAGGGUGGUGACACACUGGAACAGGUUGCCCAAGGAGGUUGUGGAUGC